GUUGCCAAGAAAACAAGGAGUAGUUGCUUUAAGCAUUUACAAAUGGUAAUGCACCAACAGCUGGUCCCAAUCCAACUGAGCUAUUGUAGGGGUAUUAAAAAGACAGGCCGGAGUUUGAGAUCUACUGCCAACCUCCCUUGCAGAGUUAGGGAACAUUUUACUUGAGGAAAAAAAGGUCUUCUCUUCCUGUAGAGAUCUGCGGCUGUAUCCUCCUGCAGAGCCUGAGCCCUGCCUGGCAGAGUAGGCAAAAAUGCAUCGUUCAUGUUAACCUAGGAAGGCUGUUUCUAGUACCUGAGCUUGAUCACAGAGAGUUCUCAGCUCUUUCUCUGCACUGAACUACUGUGCCUCAGCCAUGACUCCACGCCAAUCUCUGCAGCAUCUUUCAGGACAGCCCAAAGGUUGGCUUCAUCUUCCCUCAAAAAAUCUUCUGAGACUUCACUUCAAAGACUCAGAUGGGGCUAUUUGUAGAAAUAUCAAUGUAAUUUGGAAGAGCCGAAAUUGUUACUUUUGGA
rnacentral:lncRNA from 1 species